rnacentral:rRNA from 1 species
GUCCUACGGGGGGCAGCAGUGGGGAAUAUUGCACAAUGGGGGGAACCCUGAUGCAGCGACGCCGCGUGGGUGAAGGAGUACUUCGGUACGUAAAGCCCUAUCAGCAGGAAAGAAAAUGACGGUACCUGACUAAGAAGCCCCGGCUAACUACGUGCCAGCAGCCGCGGUAAUACGUAGGGGGCAAGCGUUAUCCGGAUUUACUGGGUGUAAAGGGGGCGCAGACGGCAGCGCAAGCCAGGAGUGAAAGCCCGGGGCCCAACCCCGGGACUGCUCUUGGAACUGCGCGGCUGGAGUGCAGUAGGGGC